rnacentral:rRNA from 1 species
UACGGAGGAUGCAAGCGUUAUCCGGAUUUAUUGGAUUUAAAGGGUGCGCAGGUUGUUUGAUAAGUCAGUGGUGAAAGUCUGUCGCUUAACGGUAGGAUUGCCAUUGAUACUGUUGGACUUGAAUAUGGAUGAGGUAGGCGGAAUGUGUAGUGUAGCGGUGAAAUGCAUAGAUAUUACACAGAACACCGAUUGCGAAGGCAGCUUACUAAUCCAUCAUUGACGCUGAGGCACGAAAGCGUGGGGAUCAAA